GAAAUGCGAUAAGUAAUGUGAAUUGCAGAAUUCAGUGAAUCAUCGAAUCUUUGAACGCACCUUGCGCUCCUUGGUAUUCCUUGGUGCAUGCCUGUUUGAGUAUCAUGAAAUCUUCAAAGUAAAUCUUUUGUUAACUCAAUUGGUUUCUACUUUGGUAUUGGAGGUCUUUGCAGCUUCACACCUGCUCCUCUUUGUUCAUUAGCUGGAUCUCAGUGUUAUGCUUGGUUCCACUCGGCGUGAUAAGUUAUCUAUCGCUGAGGACACUGUAAAGGGUGGCCAAGGUAAAUGCAGAUGAACCGCUUCUAAUAGUCCAUUGACUUGGACAAUACUUUUAUGAUCUGAUCUCAAAUCAGGUAGGACUACCCGCUGAACUUAAGC
rnacentral:misc_RNA from 1 species